rnacentral:rRNA from 1 species
AGAGUUUGAUUCUGGCUCAGGACGAACGCUGGCGGCGUGCCUAAAACAUGCAAGUCGAACGAGAGCUUCGGCUCUAGUGGCGAACGGCGGAGUAAUACGUGAACAACGUGCCCCUAAGUCCGGGACAAACGCAGAAAUGCCAUAAAUACCGGAUGUGGUCAGGAUGAUGCAUAUCGAUCUGAUUAAAGGUUUUUCGCUUAGGGAGCGGUUCACGGCCUAUCAGCUAGUUGGCGGGGUAAAAGCCCACCAAGGCGACGACGGGUAGGGGGUCUAAGAGGAUGAUCCCCCCGAGUGGGACUGAGACACGGCCCACACACCUACGGGUGGCAGCAGUUGGGAAUCUUGCACAAUGGGGGAAACCCUGAUGCAGCGACGCCGCGUGGAGGAUGAAUGGUCUAGGCCUGUAAACUCCUUUUACCAGGAAAGACUUAGGACGGUACCUGGUGAAUAAGCCCCGGCUAACUACGUGCCAGCAGCCGCGGUAAGACGUAGGGGGCAAGCGUUGUCCGGAUUUACUGGGCGUAAAGGGCGCGUAGGCGGCCUGUUAAGUGUGAAGUGAAAUCUCCAGAGCUCAACUCGGAAACGGCUUCGCAUACUGGCAGGCUUGAGGAAUGCAGAGGUGAAUAGAAUUCCUGGUGUAGCGGUGAAAUGCGUAGAUAUCAGGAGGAAUACCCAUGGCGAAGGCAGUUCACUGGGCAUUAUCUGACGCUGAGGCGCGAAAGCGUGGGGAGCAAACAGGAUUAGAUACCCUGGUAGUCCACGCCCUAAACGAUGGAUGCUAGACGUAAGAGGUAUCGACCCCUCUUGUGUCGCAGCUAACGCAUUAAGCAUCCCGCCUGGGGAGUACGGCCGCAAGGUUGAAACUCAAAUGAAUUGACGGGGACCCGCACAAGCGGUGGAGCAUGUGGAUUAAUUCGAUACUAACCGAAGAACCUUACCCAGGUUUGACAUCGAUCGCAACAUCCAGAGAUGGGUGCCUCUUCCCAAAAGGAAGACGUGAAGACACUUGUUGCAUGGCUGUCGUCAGCUCGUGCCGUGAGGUGUACGGUUAAGUCCGCCAACGAGCGCAACCCUCGUCCUAUGUUGCCAGCGAGUAAUGUCGGGAACUCAUAGGAGACCGCCGGUGUAAGCCGGAGGAAGGUGAGGAUGACGUCAAGUCAGCAUGGCAGUUACGCCUGGGGCUUCACACAUGCUACAAUGGACGCAACAAAGGGCAGCAAUACCGCGAGGUGGAGCAAAUCCCAAAAAUACGUCCUCAGUUCAGAUUGCAGUCUGCAACUCGACUGCAUGAAGGCGGAAUCGCUAGUAAACGCAGGUCAGCUAUACUGCGUUGAAUACGUUCCCGGGUCUUGUACACACCGCCCGUCAAGUCACCUGAAUUGUCUUCACCCGAAGUCCGUGGCCUAACCGUAAGGAGGGAGCGGCCGAAGGUGAGGGGGGUAAGGGGGACUAAGUCGUAACAAGGUACCCGUACCGGAAGGUGUGGGUGGAUCACCUCCUUUCUG